UCAGUAGUGCCGCACUGGGGUUCUGAGGGCUUUUAAGGAAGUCCAUGAGUCCCAUGAAUAGCAACACAUCGGGAGAAGCAGUGGUGGAUUGCUAGAUUGUCAACGUAUGUUGGGGGACUAUAUCCUCCAUCUUCAUCCACAGUUCCUGUCAUAUGGAAAUGCACUGGGUAACUGCCCAACAGCUGCUGUCCCAUAUGUGUUACUUCUACUCCUGACAGAUGAACAGAAGUAAAAUGUCUCUGGAUCUGUGAAAAUAAAAUGAUAAAGCAUUGAA